AGAAGGGGACAAGAGGUUUAGUGGUGGUACUGUGAUGAUUCUUCUCAGCAGGCACGUGAAAGGAUCUCUUUUCUUCCUCUUCUUCGACUUGCUCUUGUCUUUCGUGGCUCAGAUUCCAUUUUGGAACUACACAAUGACUCAUCAAGCAGAAACCUGAGAUGUCUCUCAUUGCUGAGUUAUGGUAAGGUUUCUUUCUUUUUAUUUUGUUUAGCUCUUCCCUUUUUCCUUCACUACCCACUAGUCAAAUUCACUACUUGUGUAAAAAAAAUGUAAAAGAGGGCCUCUUCAAAGUAGGUUUUGAGGGGAGAAAAGAAGGAAUAAUAUACCAUAAGAUGAGAGGAGAUGAACAGUUUAAGUAACUCUAUGCAUCUGUUUCUAAUUUUUAAUUUGAUGGUUAAUUACAGAAUUUGAAACUGGUCAAGUCUAUGCAUCUGUUUUUAAACUUUAAUUUGAUGGGUUAAAUCCAUUGUGAUCACUUAUUUGGAAUAUAAUAUCUUAUGAGUUCUUUUAUACCUAAAUGUUAUAGGGUCGGACAAAUUGUCCCAUGAAAUUAGUCGAGGUGCACGUCCGAAUUAUCAUGGAUAUGAAAAGAAAAAUUCUGUAAAUAGAAUAAGUUUUUAUUCAUGAAGUGGGUAGAAGAAUAGCAUGGUGGAAAGAGAAGUUUUUCAUUUCUGGUGGGUGUGAGAAUACGAAGUGAAUUAAUUUGAUAGCAUAGGAAUUUACUUCAAAUCAUUAUCACAAUAGUAGGAGUCGUACAAACUCCUUCAAAUCAUGUCCACGUUAUAUAUUUAAUAAUACAAUUGUCAGUUUUGUACUUAUCCAAUGGUAGCCAUGCAAGUCUCUCAUGAGGGUCCAAAGCCUAUCAACCCCUCAAAUUCAAUGGAACCAUAGACCUGAUCGAUAAAGGGACCAUAUUUAUGUCAAAAUUGAAGCUUUUCUUUUUCUUUGUAGAAAUAAUCCUCAAGAAGAUAACAGUAGUUUGCAUCAAAUCAUGUAUUCAAUUGCAUCCCAUUCAUCUAGACUCGAGGGAAAUGAAAGCCUUCAACCAAAACUUGUCCUUUUCUAAGUCCUGAACAAUCAUUAUGUUCUCUGUUUAUAUUGUAUAGAUACAUAUGAAUAUAGGAUAAUGUUUUUAUUCCUCUGUUCAGAAAGGAGAAGCUGAAAACAAAUAAUAAAAGAAACAUGGUUCAUUCAAUCAUUUUUCUAACUGAUUCAUUUGGAUCACUUGAAUUUGGCAAUAAACUUUCUUUAUGAUUCUUCUGCAAGGUACUCUUUUAAAAGGAACGAUUGAGAACAAUCAUUUUAGUUCACUGUUAUUCCCCAUUUUUCGUAUUUAUUGGAGAAUGGUUUCUUUAGUUCUCUAAUAGUGUUGAAGUCGGGAAUUCUAUGAUGGAUUUUUUUUUAUAUGAAAUUAAUCUACAUAUAUUAAAACAAAGUAGGUUGGGAACAUUAAUGAAGUUGGGUGAAUAAAUAGACUAAAUGCUAGGUUUGAACUUGACACCACAGGUUCUAUUCUCUUCCAAGUUUGAUUAGAAGUUGUCAUUGUCAUCAAUUUUCUCUAUUGAGUUUUUAUUCAGCUAUUGGCUAGAACUGCACUGCUGAGAAACAUAUAAUGCCUCAAUAGGAGAUUGUAAAAUCAUCCGACAGCGGAAUGUAUGAUCUGGGUGCAAACAUGUGAUGUCACUGAAUGCAUUAAUGCAUUAGCAUUUAUGUAUUUAGAGUUGUAGAAGAAUUUUUAAAACCACAAGGACAUGUAUUCUAUAUUUAUGAGUGAAAGAUUUCUUGAAGACAUAAAUGAUAGAUUAGAUGGGAGCUUGGAAGUUAAUUUAACAAACCCCAAUCAAGUUUGGUGUAUCCUAAACACAUAUUUGUAUAUAUAAUGUAUCACUGAUCCAGCGAGGACGACUGAGAUCUGAUCCAGCCAAAAAUGAAAUAUACCCAAUUAUCUUAUGUGAUAUUCAGUUCUGGCUUCAAAAUUUUGAAGAGUUUAUGUGGAGUAGUUUCAUAGAUUGCAGCUGAGAAGUUACAUGAACUUUGCCAUUCUUGGAUAGAUGAUUGCAUGCUUAUGGUUCAUUUAUGCUUAAUUGUUUUAGAUUUUCGCUUUAGUUAGAAAUUUAAAAAUGAUAAUUUAAGAUAUGACCACCAUAUUUCCUCUAACUUCUAAGCAUGGAGGUUCACUUUGGUUAUAAGUUCAUAGAAAAAUCAGAUCUGACAUCAUGGAUUACCCUUCACUUGGUAAAAAAAAUAUAAAAGAUUGUGAAAUAAGUUACUGAACCAAUGACAGAUUAGGCAGACAUAGUUUAGUGUCUAUUUCACUGAAGCUGGCCUUGUAGUUGGGGUCCCUCUGUUGCAAUUUACAGUAUGGUUUCUCUGUCCUAACAGACAGGCUUGUUCAUCCAUUAGAAAAUCUCCCCGUGUGUUGUUCUUCUCAGAUUUUGAUUUAUUUUCACAUUGGAAGAAUUUUGAAAUUUGGUUGUAAAUAUUUAGAAUUACUUGGGAAAAAUAACAUAUCCCAGCAGCCUUUUGCUUUUAAAUCUUCGAAAUAUUUUACGAUAUCAUUCUACUCUUCCUGGUCAUCUGCAGCUCUCCUUUCUGAAAUUUAACUGUUCAUACCUAUCUAUUAUGAAUUUUGGCUGGGAUUUUAAGUUUUGUUGAUUCAAUUUUCCUUUCCAUGAUUCAUCACAUAUAAUUUACGACUAGAAAUGAAACGACUGGCUGUAACUUUUAAAAUUAAAUAAAUGAAGUCUGAAAAUCCAGAUAUUCAUUUCCUUUCUCGUAGGAUUUUACAUAUUUAACUUGUUUAGUACUGUUGGAUCAAUAGUUAAAAUGCAUUGUAAAUCCUAGAACAUAAUUGUUUGCACUUGCGGAUGAGUAGAAUAUAGACUUAUACAUCACUGGUGGAAAAAUUCAAGCCAGGAUCUCAUAUCGUGAUUCAUGCAUCUUCCCUUUGGCUCAAAUUAGAAUUAUCAAUGUUAAUGAACUUUGUUUAGAGAAGAGGCCAUUAAGAUUUUUGUAAACUUGAGUGAAGUCUGAACACUUGGAAGCAUGAGAAAGCAAAUUUAAUAAAAUGGGACUACCUAAGCUUUCAAGAUAGUUGUUCAAAUGGACAAAGUGGAAGUUGUAAUAAAAAUGAGAGAGAUUUUCAUGUAGCACUGAUGAAACUAGACCCAUCUCAGAAAGGGUGGAUUGGGUUAGGAUCGUAACACAGAGAGGGUAUAAAUGAAGAAAGGCAGAAAUAAUAAAUAUCUGUGCUCUUGCUCCCCCCGCAAUCUGGUCAAUUCGUGCUAUGUUGUCCUGGUAAUAUUGCAGAAACAAUGCCUUUUUGUGCUCCAAUUCAACCUUCGUUAACAGAAUUUUUCUCAAUAAACCUUCAAAUGUAUAAUAAAGAAAACAUUCAAAAGGUGAGGCAAGACCUUUUUCUUUUCCAUAUGAAGUUUCGCACGCAUUUUUCUCUCAUUCUCCCAGACAAGAAUUGAAGCUUUUAUCUUAUGAUACCUGAAAUAUGAGAUUCUCAUAGAAAAUAACUCUAUAAGCAAGUUUCAGGUGAGAAAUCUUUUAGUGCAAGAGUUUCAUGAACUUGUCAACUCCUGAAGAUUGAUGGAUGCAGCAGCUAUAAUAUUAACUGAUAAAGCACUUAGUAUAUACCUUUUAUUAAUCUUCUCCAUCUUAUUUCUUUCCCACACAUCUGCUCUAGUUGGUACAAGGCUUCGUCUCGGUGGCGGUAUGGGAAUUCCAGUCAUUGAUUCCUUCUUUUCCUGUUCCAUUGGCUUCUUUAUUGAAGAUUGACCUGGUGUAGUGAACAUGAACAUGAUAUUUUUUGUGACAAGAAGUUAUAAGAAAUUUCUAAGCACAAUAUUUAAAUUUACCAGGAUUGGUGGUUUCCUUGUUAGACAAUCGCUUUGUUAUGCUGGGAGCGAAUGCAGAGCGAAUUGCAAAUGCAGCUGAUGCUACUGCAGUGGCAAGCUCUAUAUCACUUGAAUCAUAAUCCUCAUUCAUUUGGUUUGAAAAAUACCAUUUUAACUUCUUGGAUUCCUUUUUAUCUGGACAAUUGAGGGGAAGAAGAAUAAGUUUUUUGCACUACAACCAUAUUGAUGAAAACCAAAGGGAUUGUAAGUCAUAGCAGCAGUUUUCUAAGGAAACUUUGCAUUAUGUUUCUGUCAAAUGAUUAAAUUUUGUGCAGUGAAAAUAUCAUAUCAGUACCCUCUUUGAAGGAUCUUGUUUUUUUCUGUGGAAUUCCAUCUCUACGUUUGAUGGAAGCAUCCUUUUUAUGUUGUCCUGAAUCCGAAAAACUCACUCUACAAAGCAGGCAAUAGCUAUAUUACUUUCAGUAUUCAAAUUAAAGAGGGCAAGAAGAAGAAAACUGUUGGCCUUCUAGAACCUAAGCUUGAUGGCUCUUGAUUUGAUUUGAUUACUUUUCUGUCUCAAUGAUAGUUGUCAUUUUCUUUUCCCUUUUAGAACUUUUUAAGUUGUAAAUGAUGAACCAGAUGAAAAACUGAUGAAGAUACAUCAAAUAUUCAAAGUAGGCUAUGGGGAUAAAGAGAAAAAAUAUACCUUCUUUGACUAA